AUUGAACGCUGGCGGCAGGCCUAACACAUGCAAGUCGAGCGGAUGAAGGGAGCUUGCUCCUGGAUUCAGCGGCGGACGGGUGAGUAAUGCCUAGGAAUCUGCCUUGUAGUGGGGGAUAACGUCCGUACACGGGCGCUAAUACCGCAUACGUCCUUAGGGAGAAAGUGGGGGAUCUUCGGACCUCACGCUAUCAGAUGAGCCUAGUUCGGAUUAGCUAGUUGGUGAGGUAAAGGCCUACCAAGGCGACGAUCCGUAACUGGUCUGAGAGGAUGAUCAGUCACACUGGAACUGAGACACGGUCCAGACUCCUACGGGAGGCAGCAGUAGGGAAUAUUGGACAAUGGGCGAAAGCCUGAUCUAGCCAUGCCGCGUGUGUGAAGAAGGUCUUCGGAUUGUAAAGCACUUUAAGUUGGGAGGAAGGGCAGUAAGUUAAUACCUUGCUGUUUUGACGGUACCAACAGAAUAAGCACCGGCUAACUUCGUG
rnacentral:rRNA from 1 species